rnacentral:rRNA from 1 species
UCAAACUUGAGAGUUUGAUCCUGGCUCAGAACGAACGCUGGCGGCAUGCCUAAUACAUGCAAGUCGAACGAGAUCUUCGGAUCUAGUGGCGCACGGGUGCGUAACGCGUGGGAAUCUGCCCUUGGGUUCGGAAUAACGUCGGGAAACUGACGCUAAUACCGGAUGAUGACGUAAGUCCAAAGAUUUAUCGCCCAGGGAUGAGCCCGCGUAGGAUUAGCUAGUUGGUGGGGUAAAGGCCUACCAAGGCGACGAUCCUUAGCUGGUCUGAGAGGAUGAUCAGCCACACUGGGACUGAGACCCGGCCCAGACUCCUACGGGAGGCAGCAGUGGGGAAUAUUGGACAAUGGGCGAAAGCCUGAUCCAGCAAUGCCGCGUGUGUGAAGAAGGC